rnacentral:rRNA from 1 species
UACAGAGGUGGCAAGCGUUGUUCGGAAUUACUGGGCGUAAAGGGCGCGUAGGUGGUCAACUAAGUCGGACGUGAAAUCCCUCGGCUUAACCGGGGAACUGCGUCCGAUACUGGAUGACUUGAGUUCGGGAGAGGGAUGCGGAAUUCCAGGUGUAGCGGUGAAAUGCGUAGAUAUCUGGAGGAACACCGGUGGCGAAGGCGGCAUCCUGGACCGACACUGACGCUGAGGAGCGAAAGCCAGGGGAGCAAACGGG